UUGCACAAAGCCAGGGGCCCAGCUGCACAGCAGCUGCUGAUUCCUUUUCCUCUGGCUUCCUCCAAGGCCUUCACCAUGGUGCUGUGCCUCCUGCCUCUCCUCCUUCUCCCAGGGGUUUUGGUGCCAGCUUCCAGGGCGCAACCAGUGCUGACUCAGCCGGCCUCCAUUUUAGUGUUACCGGGACAAACAGUGAAACUCUCUUGUGCCCUGAAUCCUGGUUACAACAUCCGGGAGUUCGGGGUCGCCUGGUACCAGCAGAGACCUGGCAGCCCUCCGAGGUACCUGCUGUAUUACAAUUCGGAGGUGGACAAGGAAAAGCCCUCCGGAAUUCCGGACCGCUUCUCUGCGUCCAAAGACCUCGCCAGCAACGCCUGCGUUCUGACCAUCACUGGGGUCCAGGCUGAGGACCACGCUGACUAUUAUUGCUCGGUCAGAUAUCCCAUCUACUAUCUCUAGAAAUGUGGAACCAAAACCUGUGCUGUUGCCCGGGGGACUCUGAUGAGCCCCAGCUUGCAGAGCAUCGUGCUGAAGGAACCGCAGCCCUAUAAGGAACGGAAAAAAGAAACGGCUCAUGUUCUCCACUCUUGAAUUAGCCUACAGGUGAAGCCCCCGCCCCCGGUCAGUUAUGCUCAGACAGCUGUGACUGAUGGUGGCUUCCUGUUUGAUGGGUGUCACCUGGUGGAGCACAGAAUGCUAAGAGACACGCAGGGCCAAAUCCUGCCAGGUGCUGGGCACCUGCAGCUCCCACU